GAUGAAACUUAAAUGAUUUCUUCGGAAUGAACUCAAGUGGAUUAGUGGCGGACGGGUGAGUAACGCGUGAGUAACCUGCCUUACACAAGGGGAUAGCCGUUGGAAACGACGAAUAAUACCCUAUGAAACUAUCACUUCGCAUGAAGCGAUAGUCAAAGUGUUAGCGGUGUAAGAUGGACUUGCGUCUGAUUAGCUGGUUGGUGAGAAAAAAGCCCACCAAGGCAACGAUCAGUAGUCGGCUUGAGAGAGUGUACGGCCACAUUGGGACUGAGACACGGCCCAGACUCCUACGGGAGGCAGCAGUGGGGGAUUUUGCACAAUGGGGGAAACCCUGAUGCAGCGACGCCGCGUGAUUUAGAAGGCCUUCGGGUUGUAAAAAUCUUUUGUAUAGGAAGAAAAUGACAGUACUAUACGAAUAAGGUCCGGCUAAUUACGUGCCAGCAGCCGCGGUAAUACGUAAGGACCGAGCGUUGUCCGGAAUCAUUGGGCGUAAAGGGUACGUAGGCGGGUCAUUAAGUUAGAAGUUAAAGGCUAUAGCUCAACUAUAGUAAGCUUCUAAAACUGGAGACCUUGAGUAAUGGAAGGGAAAGUGGAAUUCCUAGUGUAGCGGUGGAAUGCGCAGAUAUUAGGAGGAAUACCGGUGGCGAAGGCGACUUUCUGGCCAUUAACUGA
rnacentral:rRNA from 2 species